GAACAGCACUCGGUUCCAAAAGUUCUUGCCAGCGAGAGUCAGUGUGCUUUGAUCAAGAGCUGAUCAACUGCCCACAGUGACUCAGCAUCUCUGGGCUAAAGUGCAGUGCUAGGAUUUCUAAUUGUUAUCAGAAGUCACUGUGGGGAUGAGUCAUGCGAAUCCUUUAUGAACAAAUUCUGAUCCGAGCCAAAACUGUUGUCAGGAUUUCCAGCCUAUCUCUCUGCCGUCUGCCGUAGGAGACGUUUCUUUCAAAGUUUAGUACCAAGGAAAACUCAGUUUUCUUCGAAACCACCCACAAGGUGUCCCUUUCCCCGAUCAAAAGAGAGUUGUUUCCUGUUCCAUCUCCACCAGCAGAACACUUCAAGUAUAUAUGGCAGAAGGCUCCCUUGGAACAACUGAAAUGAUCCAAGAAGCCUGCUGGAGAAAGAACAGUGUGGUGAAAAUAUAUUCGAGUGUGAUAAACAUCUUGCUCUUCUGACGAGACAAUUGAUUAGAGCUCGUCUGCUCAUCUAAAUUGAUCAGCUCAGCUCAGAAGUAAAAGGAUGUGUCUCAUUCCUGCAGGCCUAGACCGCCUCUCUUUCCCAUGCACCUCCAUAAUUUCCAGGGAGCGGAGUUCUUACAAUGAGUCCAGAGCAGACAUUUCCCAGAAACACCUGCUAGAAAUUAUCAAAGGCAAACAUGACGAUACUGUCCCAUCUUCUCUACCCCCUGAGACGCCACAAUACGCUCCUUUACGUGGAAGUCAGGUGGGUCUGCUUAAUAAUAUUGAUGUCUUUGCUUUUAUAGGUCUCUUUUUUUCCACUAUAAAUAUACUGCAAAUUUAGAAAUAGAGGAAAAGCAUUUGUAAAAAUUUAAUAAUAUCUAAUCUGGGGACAGAAGUUUAAAUAACCUGAAAUGGAAUGUCCGAGGGAAAGGAAUGUACUGGAAGUGAGGAGGUUUGGAUUCUGGUCCAACCCUGCUAUAACUAGCUGGGGUGACCUCAAGUGAGUGAUUUAUUCUUGAUGAAUUUUUUUCUUCACUUGUAAAAGGAAAGGCUGGGCCCGGCACACCCACGCUUAUAGCAUUCCAGGGUCGCGGGACAGUUAAGCAGGCAGAUGCGUUAGCCUCGCUGCCCGGGGUCCGGUUCCCCGCACUGCCAUUCAGGAGUUGUUGGAGCCUGUUUCAUAUCCUGUCCGUGUCCCAGUGUCCCCAUCCAUCAAUGAGGGUGGUCAUCUCUCUCACAUGCUGAUGAUCUGGUGAACGUUGGCCGCCAUCCUUAUCUUAAAUGUGGCCCAGCCGCAUCGCACGCCGCACCGAUCGCUUUCCUGAGAGCCACACGUCCAGUGUUGUCUGCGCAUCACUGUGGCCUCACGUGGCAUUUGGGAUCUCAGCUUUGUGGUCACAGUCCAAACCCGAGAGCAUACUGCCCAGGCUGCAGCUCUCCCUCCUCACUGUUCCCCAGCUCAGCAAAGAAUACCAACACCCGCCCCCCUGCUCCUGCCACUCACCUGGGAGCCGGCCAGAUACCUGUCCCGUUCUAGCUCCUGCAGGCCCGUUCGACUCGCAAACUAAACUCAGGUCUCCAACUCAGCCUUUAUCCGAACUGAAAGUGCUAUCUCCAUGCUCAAUCUAUCCAACUCAGGCAGAGACCCCACACUCACUCAGGUCUUAAGGGAGCCCUGGGUGGCCUGGGGAGAGGAGUGGGUUUUAGAGCUGGGCCCCUCUGAGUUUAAGCACCCCAACCUGAAUUCCCACUGGCAGGCAUUCAAGACAGGUACUUCCACUCCGACGACACCCAGCCCCUGCCUCCCUUGCCUGUGAGGGAGGAGGGCUGAGGGUGCUGCUCAAGGAUGGGAGGGCGAAAGCACCUCAUUCCACGUGCGGGACCCAGGCCUGCUGUUCUGCCUCCACCUGUCCUCACGCCUCUGCUCUGUCAGAUCUCCUUGGGGCACCACAGGUGAUGCUGAAGGAGACAGCCCGCCUUUCCUGGCUGUCUACAGGGUGCUGGGUCCUUGCACCUCUCAGCUCAUUCAGUCCUCACAUCUCCAGAGA